rnacentral:rRNA from 1 species
UGGGGAAUAUUGCACAAUGGGCGCAAGCCUGAUGCAGCCAUGCCGCGUGUAUGAAGAAGGCCUUCGGGUUGUAAAGUACUUUCAGCGGGGAGGAAGGUGUUGAGGCUAAUAACCUCAGCAAUUGACGUUACCCGCAGAAGAAGCACCGGCUAACUCCGUGCCAGCAGCCGCGGUAAUACGGAGGGUGCAAGCGUUAAUCGGAAUUACUGGGCGUAAAGCGCACGCAGGGGGUCUGUCAAGUCGGAUGUGAAAUCCCCGGGCUCAACCUGGGAACUGCAUUCGAAACUGGCAGGCUAGAGUCUUGUAGAGGGGGGUAGAAUUCCAGGUGUAGCGGUGAAAUGCGUAGAGAUCUGGAGGAAUACCGGUGGCGAAGGCGGCCCCCUGGACAAAGACUGACGCUCAGGUGCGAAAGCGUGGGGAGCAAACA